UCCUUGGUCCUGUCAAGGCUUGAUGCCCCAGUGUAGGGAACUGUCAGAAUGGGCAGGUUGGAAGGAGUGAGUGGGUGACUGAGGAACUGCCCUCAUAGAACAGGAGGCAUGAGCAGAAAUAAUAGCUGGUUUCUAAAGGACAAAUCAGGAAAGGGGAUAAUAUUUAAAAUGUGAAUUAAAACAAUCCCCUCCCCUAAUGAAAGAAAAAGAAAGAGAAAUGGAGAAAGAAAAAGUAAAACAAAUGGGGGUACAUAACUAAACAGAUGUCGACUGGGUUCGUGGUGGUGUUAUUCCCAGGAUAGUCAAGCAUCUUCUGAGAAUCCAAAGUCUUUGGGUUCCGGUGGAGUAUGGUUGCAAAGCUGAAACUUAAAGGAAUUGACCGAAAGGCACCAUCAAGAGUGGAGCCUGCAGCUUAAUUUGACUCAACACGGGAAUCCUCACUCGGCCUGGACACAGACAGGAUUGACAGAUUGAUAGGUCUUUCUCGCUUCCCUGGGUGGUGUUUCAUGGCUGUUCUUAGUUGGUGGAGCGAUAUGUCUGGUUAAUUCCUAUAAGGAAGAAGACUCUGGCAUGCUAACUAGUUACGUGACCCCCUGAGCAGUCGGCGUCCCCCAACUUCUUAAAGGGACAAGUGGUGUUCAGCCACCUGAGAUUGAACAAUAACAGGUCUGUGAUGCCCUUAGAUGUCCUCGGCUGCAUGUGCACCACACUGACUGGCUCAGCAUGUGCCUACCCUAUGCCUGCAGGCACGGGUAACCCAUUGAACCCCAUUCGUGAUGGAGAUCUGGGAUUACAAUUAUUCCCCAUGAAAGAGGAAUUCCCAGUAAUUGCAGGUCAUAAGCUUGCUUUGAUUAAGUCCCUGUCCCUUGUACACAUAGCCCUUCGCUACUGCCGAUUGGAUGGUUUAGUGAGGCCUCAUCAGGCCAUAGCCCUGUGGGAGGGCUGAGAAGAUAGUGGAACUUGAUUAUCUAGAGGAAGUAAAAGUCUUAACAAGGUUUCUGCAGGUGAACCAGUGGUAGGAUCAUUA
rfam:Rattus norvegicus chromosome 12, whole genome shotgun sequence.